CAAGGAUUUCCACUGGCAAGUAUAUAUCUACCCAUCCUCCUACAGGGCAAUUGAGAUGGGACUUUCCCCUAAUUUAAGCAUAUGAGCUAUCAGAUGUAAAAGUCACAGUUUAUGUAGAAUGUUUUAGCUUUUCUUCAACAAGCUCAAUACAGCGAUAUAGAACUAACUCCACUGGGUUAAGAGCACAUACUGUGUCAAUUGCAAGUUGAUCAUAAUCAUUCUUGUUCUCUGUCAUAAUUCCAGUUACAAGGGUUCGAAGAGGCAGAAGCCACUCAUUGUAUGCCUUCUGUAAAUUUUUCUUAGACAGAACUUCAG
rnacentral:misc_RNA from 1 species